CAUCAACGUUGAGCUUGAUUGAAGCUAUGGUUUGUGUAUCUUAAAAAAAUGUGCUCCGAUAAAGAAGUAGUGAGCAAAGUAUUCACCCAAUGUUUGCAAAUUUAACUGUUUUGAUUAGGAGUGAGAAUUAAAAGGUAAGGUGGACCAUAACGUAAACAUAAUGCUCUUUACAAUAACGCUUGGAUAUAAUUACGAUUUGGAAAGGAGCAUAUGGGCUAACAUAUCUUAGUAAGAUUGCUAAUAGAUAUCUGGCUGCUGUUGGGUGUUUUCUCUCCCAAUCAUCCAAAACAUGAAGCAGUUCCAUGUGGGCUAGGUCUCAUUCGGUUGGUUUUGAGUCAUUACAUGUCGUCCAUUAGGCCAUUUCUAAUUGCCUGGGCUUCACUCUCCUUCAUCUUCAAUCGUUGCUCCAAUUCCAAGUUUCACGAGUGAAGAGUCUAAUGUAGAGUUCAACAAGAUUUAGAAGACAAAAAAAAAAAAUAGUUCAAGAAAUCAAAGUAACUCAUGGUGCUCAAAUUGUCCGGUUGUUGUUCUUUCUCUUCCAACCUUAGGUGGGCAAUGAAAUAAUUUUCAGGCGUUUGAUAGGUAGAAGUUCCAUGUUUAGGUGUACACUACCUAGCUACAUAUUGGUGGCUUUGCAACUAUCAACUAAUAUUGCUACACCACACUCUUAAGACUCGAGGGAUAUAUCUUUUUUUUUUUCUUCACUAGAUAGAAGAUCAUGUAUGAGAUUGGUGAGGAAAUCGUCUCAAUCCUGGAAAAACAGCAUAAAAUAAAAAAGGAUCAGUUAACUUA